GAAAGAACGUAGCAAAAUGCGAUAAGUAAUGUGAAUUGCAGAAUUCAGUGAAUCAUCGAAUCUUUGAACGCACAUUGCGCCCGCCAGUAUUCUGGCGGGCAUGCCUGUUCGAGCGUCAUUUCAACCCUCAAGCACAGCUUGGUGUUGGGACUCGCGUUAAUUCGCGUUCCCCAAAUUGAUUGGCGGUCACGUCGAGCUUCCAUAGCGUAGUAGUAAAACCCUCGUUACUGGUAAUCGUCGCGGCCACGCCGUUAAACCCCAACUUCUGAAGGUUGACCUCGGAUCAGGUAGGAAUACCCGCUGAACUUAAGCAUAUCAAUAAGCGGAGGA
rnacentral:misc_RNA from 1 species